GACGAACGCUGGCGGCAUGCCUAACACAUGCAAGUCGAACGAGACCUUCGGGUCUAGUGGCGCACGGGUGCGUAACGCGUGGGAAUCUGCCCUUGGGUUCGGAAUAACAGUUAGAAAUGACUGCUAAUACCGGAUAAUGUCUUCGGACCAAAGAUUUAUCGCCCAGGGAUGAGCCCGCGUAGGAUUAGCUAGUUGGUGAGGUAAAGGCUCACCAAGGCGACGAUCCUUAGCUGGUCUGAGAGGAUGAUCAGCCACACUGGGACUGAGACACGGCCCAGACUCCUACGGGAGGCAGCAGUGGGGAAUAUUGGACAAUGGGCGAAAGCCUGAUCCAGCAAUGCCGCGUGAGUGAUGAAGGCCUUAGGGUUGUAAAGCUCUUUUACCCGGGAUGAUAAUGACAGUACCGGGAGAAUAAGCCCCGGCUAACUCCGUGCCAGCAGCCGCGGUAAU
rnacentral:rRNA from 1 species